rnacentral:rRNA from 1 species
UACGUAGGGUGCAAGCGUUAUCCGGAAUUAUUGGGCGUAAAGAGCUCGUAGGCGGUUUGUCGCGUCUGCUGUGAAAACUGGAGGCUCAACCUCCAGCCUGCAGUGGGUACGGGCAAACUAGAGUGGCGGUAGGGGAGAUUGGAAUUCCUGGUGUAGCGGUGGAAUGCGCAGAUAUCAGGAGGAACACCGAUGGCGAAGGCAGAUCUCUGGGCCGGUAACUGACGCUGAGGAGCGAAAGCAUGGGUAGCGAACAGG